UACGUAGGGGGCAAGCGUUGUCCGGAAUCAUUGGGCGUAAAGCGCGUGUAGGCGGCCUUGUAAGUCCGUUCUGAAAGCCCGGGGUUCAACCCCGGGAGGCGGAUGGAUACUGCAAGGCUCGAGUACGGAAGAGGCGAGUGGAAUUCCCGGUGUAGCGGUGAAAUGCGUAGAGAUCCGGAGGAACACCAGUGGCGAAGGCGACACGCUGGGCCGUACCUGACACUGAUGCGCGACAGCAUGGGGAGCAAACAGG
rnacentral:rRNA from 1 species